rnacentral:rRNA from 1 species
AGGACGAACGCUGGCGGCGUGCUUAACACAUGCAAGUCGAACGAUGAAGCCCAGCUUGCUGGGUGGAUUAGUGGCGAACGGGUGAGUAACACGUGAGUAACCUGCCCUUGACUCUGGGAUAAGCACUGGAAACGGUGUCUAAUACCGGAUAUAUCAGCUGGCCGCAUGGUCUGGUUGUGGAAAGAAUUUUGGUCAAGGAUGGACUCGCGGCCUAUCAGGUAGUUGGUGAGGUAAUGGCUCACCAAGCCUACGACGGGUAGCCGGCCUGAGAGGGUGACCGGCCACACUGGGACUGAGACACGGCCCAGACUCCUACGGGAGGCAGCAGUGGGGAAUAUUGCACAAUGGGCGAAAGCCUGAUGCAGCAACGCCGCGUGAGGGAUGACGGCCUUCGGGUUGUAACUCCUUUAGUGGGAACGAAAUGACGGUACCACAGAAAAGCCCGGCUAACUACGUGCCAGCAGCCGC